GAAUUUUUCCCAAUGGGGGAAAGCCCGACGGAGCAAUACCGGGUGAGGGGAGAAGGCCUAUGGGUUGUUAACCUUUUUUUUCAGGGGGGAAAAAUUGAAGGGUACCUGAAGAAUAAGCAUCGGCUAACUCCGUGCCAGCAGCCGCGGUAAGACGGAGGAUGCAAGUGUUAUCCGGAAUCACUGGGCGUAAAGCGUCUGUAGGUGGUUUAAUAAGUCAACUGUUAAAUCUUGAGGCUCAACCUCAAAAUCGCAGUCGAAACUAUUAGACUAGAGUAUAGUAGGGGUAAAGGGAAUUUCCAGUGGAGCGGUGAAAUGCGUAGAGAUUGGAAAGAACACCGAUGGCGAAGGCACUUUACUGGGCCAUUACUAACA
rnacentral:rRNA from 1 species